AUUGAACGCUGGCGGCAUGCUUUACACAUGCAAGUCGAACGGCAGCGCGGGCUUCGGCCUGGCGGCGAGUGGCGAACGGGUGAGUAAUGCAUCGGAACGUGCCCAGUAGUGGGGGAUAGCCCGGCGAAAGCCGGAUUAAUACCGCAUACGACCUGAGGGUGAAAGCGGGGGACCGAAAGGCCUCGCGCUAUUGGAGCGGCCGAUGUCGGAUUAGCUAGUUGGUGGGGUAAAGGCUUACCAAGGCGACGAUCCGUAGCUGGUCUGAGAGGACGACCAGCCACACUGGGACUGAGACACGGCCCAGACUCCUACGGGAGGCAGCAGUGGGGAAUUUUGGACAAUGGGGGCAACCCUGAUCCAGCCAUGCCGCGUGCGGGAAGAAGGCCUUCGGGUUGUAAACCGCUUUUGUUCGGAAAGAAAUCCUCUGGGCUAAUACCCCGGGGGGAUGACGGUACCGGAAGAAUAAGCACCGGCUAACUACG
rnacentral:rRNA from 1 species